AUGAAGUGUUUGGACAACAUAAUAGCGCAGAAAAAGAUACCAGAGGAGGAACUUAUAGGAAGUAGAAGGUAUGCUAAGCUUAUGAAGGAGGCAAGUCAAGCGCAACAAGUUGAACCUGGUAUUGGUGAUCCUCAGAAAGUUUCGACAAAGGGUGCACCUAAGAAGGGGCGGUCAAAGGGGGGCCCCGAUGUUACAAAGAAUGGUAGUCCAAAAAAUAUACAGAGAAAAAAAGUGGUCCUUUGUGCAGUCUGUGUAAUCAACCAGGUCAUAACAAGGCUACAUGUGAAAAAACCAGAAAAAUUGGGCGUAGAGAAGCAUCUUGCUACGUUGGAAGAAUAA
rnacentral:rRNA from 1 species